rnacentral:telomerase_RNA from 1 species
GCGCACGACACCUCCCCUUCAGUUCUCCGACUCUCGUUUUCCGCAAGGAAUGUCUAUCGCAGACCUCUCGGCAUGGACUGACAAUCCACGAUACGUCGCAUCCGAGCCUGUAUCAGGACCUCGUGCUUGCCGCGGUUGGAGUUAUCGUGGUCCAUGGUUGUCUAUUCCAGACAAUGCAGUCCAGCUGAGAGAACGGGUUUCGGAACUUAACCCUAAGCAGCCCUUUGGUUCAAGUUUUGCGUCCGCAGUCGUCGAACCUGUCUUUUAAACCCGCCCGGUCAACCGGUGACAAGAUMGCCGCUGAAAAGUGGCCAGCCUCUCCGGGGGGCCGCGGUGGGUGGACUGGCAGGGAACACAUUCCAGUCACCGUUUGGUGCGCGAAAGGGGGUUUCUAUGAGUCGUUUGGGUAAGAGCCUCUGGUCUGAGGCCGCUCGUCAGGACCUAUCCGCUGGAACUAGUACUCUGGCCAAGAGUAGGUCGCUUGGAGAAGACGGCAGAUGUGGCUUGCAGGGUCGAGCUGGCAACGAACCUGCUUUCAGGGUUUUUGCCGUGCCCGCCUCUUGGGACCGGUUCCGUGUCGAUUGGUAUGGUGGGAUGAGCUCAGCGUUGGCCACAAACAGUCAGAAUCGAAGUUUCAGUACGCAAUUCGCCUCGGACUCGCCUUGCUAGUCGCACCACGGUGUUGCGAGGAUUCCCGGGCCUACAAACAGAAACUUAUCGAUCUGACAACUCCAGCUACGCUCAGCUCUCGGUUCUCACCUCCCCAAUGCACAACCCCGGACUUGCCCAGCAUGCCCAGCGAACAAGAGUUGCCAGCAUCGGAUUCUGCAGCCAGUCGGGUCUUCUCCCAGCCACACCGCGGCAUCUGCCACCGGUGUGACAUGCCCGCAUGUGAUCUGGUCAGGCGCAUCAGCCUCCACUCGUGGGUCCUGCCCCACGAUACAGGAAGACGCCAAAUCCUUGUUGUUCUCCUUGGGGAUCAACUUCUGCCCGAUGGUCUUCCGGAAACGGGGCCAGGAUGACAGCGCGGUUUUUUAUGGAUGUCUUUUGUCCGCGCGGAAUGCCCUCCUUUGCGAAUCGUCGCCGGAGAGGAAACAAAAACCAGUCCAAGGAGGUCGUGCGACACAUACAGAGAGAGCUUCCCCGAUGGCUUCGGACUACACGGACUGGGAUUCCCGUCGCCGAACUUGGGAGGGCUGUGUAUAUGAUGGCUGUGGCUCGUGAGCAGAGGCAUGCGCGGCGGCCUCGCAAAGCCUCGAGUCGGUGGCUUCUGGACGGCUGAUCAGGUCCAAAGCGAUACCGGGACCCAUCUCGUGUUGGAGUCAAAGUUUUGUGCUUGUCCGGGAUCGCCGAGGGCAUGGGAUGCUAGCCUCUCUCCGCCGCUCGAGGUUCACGCGCUUGUUGGAUCAAAAGGACAGGCCUUGGGAAGGUAGUCCUGGUUGCCGUCUCUCCAGCAAUGGCGAGAUGGCAACCCC